AACAGACGGUAACUAUACCGAUAACUAAAUUAGUGUCUACACCAACAGACAGUAACUAUACCGAUAACUAAAUUAGUGUCACACCAACAGAAGGUAACUGAUAACUAAAUUAGUGUCACACCAACAGACGGUAACUAUACCGAUAACUAAAUUAGUGUCUACACCAACAGACAGUAACUGAUAACUAAAUUAGUGUCACACCAACAGACGGUAACUGAUAACUAAAUUAGUGUCACACCAACAGACGGUAACUAUACCGAUAACUAAAUUAAUGUCUACACCAACAGACGGUAACUAUACCGAUACCUAAAUUAGUGUCUACAACAACAGACAGUAACUAUACCGAUAACUAAAUUAGUGUCACACCAACAGAAGGUAACUAUACCGAUAACUAAAUUAAUGUCUACACCAACAGACGGUAACUAUACCGAUACCUAAAUUAGUGUCUACAACAACAGACAGUAACUAUACCGAUAACUAAAUUAGUGUCACACCAACAGAAGGUAACUGAUAACUAAAUUAGUGUCACACCAACAGACGGUAACUAUACCGAUAACUAAAUUAGUGUCACACCAACAGAAGGUAACUGAUAACUAAAUUAGUGUCUACACCAACAGACGGUAACUAUACCGAUACCUAAAUUAGUGUCACACCAACAGAAGGUAACUAUACCGAUAACUAAAUUAGUGUCACACCAACAGAAGGUAACUGAUAACUAAAUUAGUGUCACACCAACAGACGGUAACUAUGCGGAUAACUAAAUUAAUGUCUACACCAACAGACGGUAACUAUACCGAUAACUAAAUUAGUGUCUACACCAACAGACGGUAACUAUACCGAUACCUAAAUUAGUGUCUACACCAACAAACGGUAACUAUACCGAUACCUAAAUUAGUGUCUACAACAACAGACGGUAACUAUACCGAUAACUAAAUUAGUGUCACACCAACAGACGGUAACUAUACCGAUAACUAAAUUAGUGUCUACACCAACAGACGGUAACUAUACCGAUAACUAUAUUAGUGUCUACACCAACAGACGGUAACUAUACCGAUAACUAAAUUAGUGUCACACUAAUGGACAAUAAAUAUACUGAUAAUUAUACCGAUAAGCUGGGCAACAAGUGACUGUCUUAUUACACACAUAAUAUGGACUAAGUGUCUUCUUAACUGCUCAUCUACUCGCUCUGUUUAUCAUCCCCAUGAUUGUUUUCACGUUUCCAGGGGAUUUUAACUGCCUUUGUUCGUCCUCCAGCCGCUGACACAUGAAUCUGGAGUCAGAGGUUAAGAGCAUGUGUGCUUAAACAUGAGUUAUGGUCUACAUUAAGAUGAGAGACAAUCUCUCUUUAUCUCCUGUUUGAUUUGGACAUGUGAGGACAUGUCUCCUCUCUGGGCAUUUACUAGAUUCUGUCUCUGUUUAAUGGGACAGAUCUUCCGGUUGUGAUUUGAUUCAAUUGGUUCAGUUCUGUGGGCCGUAAGAGGUGAAACAGUUGAUGGGACUCGUAGAAACAACAUCACAGCCACUCUGGCGCUGGAUGCAUGAGGCACGACUGUAAAGACACAAAAGAUGCUUCAGUCAAAAGUGAUUGAAUGAAUAUUUAAGCACCCUUUUGUUAUGCAGCUGGAACAUAUUCUUUCAUGAGAUCAUUUAGUUCUUACAGGAAGGCUUUUUUUUAUAUAGAGAGUAAACUAGUACACUCUUGUUCCACUGCGUUACAUCGGAGCAAACACAUACAGUAGCAUUCAGAGCUUAGGACAUUUACAGUAGAGCUGGAAAUGUCACUGAUGCAACUGAAUUGUAAAUUUAGUUUUACAUUUAGAGAUAUUCAUUGCAACAAAAAAUAUAAAAACAAACGCUAAUUAAAAAUUGACAUCAAUGCAGAAACUUGCACCUGAAUGUUUGUGCUGCUUCUGCUGGAUGAGAAUAAUAACAGAGAAGCUAUCACAACACAAACACGUGAGCAUGUGCCAGGAACAACGGCACUCAUGUCACACACACUACAGAGUUCAACAUGCUCAACAUCCCUUUAAAUGCUUCUAGGUCAUUUUUAUCAAGUUAAGUGAGUUUUCUUGCAGUAUUUGUUGUGAGUGAAGGAGAAUUUCAGCAAUGCUGGUUAAAUAUUAGAUUAGUAUUAUCUCACGAACGCUUAUCUUUCCAGCUGGGCUGAGAUAAGCUUUCUCACACAUGGCACAACUCACUUUCAAAUGUUUAUCUUUAGGAUCCUCAUGAAAUGGCUUCAUGGCCCUGCUAUAAUGUAUUUCCUAUUAAAACAGGAAGUUUGCAGCCUCAAUCUGGAACCUAAUCCUCCACUAUCUACUACACAUGUUUAUUAUCAUAAACAAUCAUAAAUGAAUGAAGACUGGUAACUACUCUGAUCACUUGAUGACGAAGAUCUUCUGUUCCAGUCCAAAUAAAAUUCUAAUGUGUGUGGCUUACUUGAAUCUGUAAAAACAAUUCAUAAUAAACACCAAAAAUGAAUUAUAGUUCAUUGAAAUAAUAAGACAUUUUUAAUUCAAUGAAAUAUGAUCAUGUUAUGUUUGACCCAAACAAUAAUCUUUUACCCUCAUGUAAUUCAAAACCUGUAUGACUUUCUUUUUUCUGUGGAAGAUAAAGGUGAUAUUUUGACAGAUAUUGGGAACAAUUAAUAUUGGAGCCACGUCUGAAAAUAUCACAUUUUAAGUUUCAAAAAAGAAAGAAUGUCAGGAGUUUAAAGGAAUAGCUGCUCACCAAUGGAUACUAUGCAGUAAAUGGGUGCCGUCAGAAUGAGAGUACAAACAGCUGAUAAAAACAUCACAAUAAUCCACAACACUCAGUUACAUAAUGACUUGAGAAGAGAAAAGAUGCAUGUUUAUAAGAAAAAAUCAUGAUGUUAUUAACAUCAAACCAUUGCGUCUUGCUAAAUAUGAGUCCUUUAUCCAUAAUUAUUGCCUCAUCCAGUGAAAAAGUCUUCUAGUCUGAAUCAGAAGAGAAAUCUCCACAGAUCAAGCACUGUUUACAAGCCACAACAGUCCAAAAUAGCAUUUAACAACUAUGUGGGUGGAUUUUGAUGUGAGAGACAACAGAUGGACCUUUUCACUGGAGGAAGCCUUAUUAUGGAUUAUGCAGCGGUUACGCAGCAGUUUGAAGUUAAAGCAUCUUAAUAAUGGAUUUGUUUUUUUACAAACACACAGCUUUUCACUUCAAAAGACAUUAACUGAUGGACUGGAGUGGUGUGGAUUACUUGUGGAUUAUUGUGAUGUUUUUAUCAGCUGUUUGAACUCUCAUUCUGACGGCACCCAUUCACAACAAAUGAUCCAUUGGUGAGCAAGUGAUGGAAUGCUACAUUUAUCCAAAUCUGAUGAAGAAACACACUUGUAGAUGGCCUGGAGAUGAGUAAAUUUCACUUUUGGGUGAACUAUUGUUUUAAAUUUUGUGAGGUGGGUCAGGGUGUGAACAAAAAU